AGAUUUUUAUAUUAUAGUUCCAAAUAUAAAUUAAAAAAAUAAAGUUAUUAUAAUUCCUAAUCUUUUUCCCCCAAAAACAAGAAAACUUACAAAUCUCUGCUUGAUAAACUCAUAUACUCUCACUCGCCGCCUAAACUUCGGCGACGUUUGUUUGAUCGCCGUCGUUCUCUCUUAAGACGAGAAGAAGUGGCAAAAACUGUACAUUCUGUAUCAGUUACCGCAUAAAAUCCGGCUACUAAUUAUAUAGAGGUGAGUAUUUGAAAUCUUUUUCCUUCUAAGAUUAUAAUUAAUUGUAAAAUUCCUUUAUGUAUUAUAUUUAAUAUAAUAAGAUCGUUUCCUUAAAUCCUUUUUAAAAUUUUUAGGAAGACGGUAAUCAAUUUUCUUUUAGAAUUAGUAAUUUC
rnacentral:sRNA from 1 species